rnacentral:rRNA from 1 species
UACGAAGGGGGCUAGCGUUGCUCGGAAUUACUGGGCGUAAAGCGCACGUAGGCGGCUCUUUAAGUCGGUGGUGAAAUCCUGGAGCUCAACUCCAGAACUGCCUUCGAUACUGUAGAGCUUGAGUUCGGGAGAGGUGAGUGGAACUGCGAGUGUAGAGGUGAAAUUCGUAGAUAUUCGCAAGAACACCAGUGGCGAAGGCGGCUCACUGGCCCGAUACUGACGCUGAGGUGCGAAAGCGUGGGGAGCAAACAGG